rnacentral:rRNA from 1 species
CAGCAGCCGCGGGAAAACGUAGGCGGCAAGCGUUGUCCGGAAUUAUUGGGCGUAAAGGGCUCGCAGGCGGUUUCUUAAGUCUGAUGUGAAAGCCCCCGGCUCAACCGGGGAGGGUCAUUGGAAACUGGGAAACUUGAGUGCAGAAGAGGAGAGUGGAAUUCCACGUGUAGCGGUGAAAUGCGUAGAGAUGUGGGGGAACACCAGUGGCGAAGGCGACUCUCUGGUCUGUAACUGACGCUGAGGAGCGAAAGCGUGGGGAGCGAACAGGAUUAGAUACCCCCGUAGUCCCUGUCUCUUAUAC